rnacentral:rRNA from 1 species
UGUGAACUCGAAGAGUAGGGCGGGACACGUGGUAUCCUGUCUGAAUAUGGGGGGACCAUCCUCCAAGGCUAAAUACUCCUGACUGACCGAUAGUGAACCAGUACCGUGAGGGAAAGGCGAAAAGAACCCCGGCGAGGGGAGUGAAAAAGAACCUGAAACCGUGUACGUACAAGCAGUGGGAGCACCUUCGGGUGUGACUGCGUACCUUUUGUAUAAUGGGUCAGCGACUUAUAUUCUGUAGCAAGGUUAACCGUAUAGGGGAGCCGCAGGGAAACCGAGUCUUAACUGGGCGUUAAGUUGCAGGGUAUAGACCCGAAACCCGGUGAUCUAGCCAUGGGCAGGUUGAAGGUUGGGUAACACUAACUGGAGGACCGAACCGACUAAUGUUGAAAAAUUAGCGGAUGACUUGUGGCUGGGGGUGAAAGGCCAAUCAAACCGGGAGAUAGCUGGUUCUCCCCGAAAGCUAUUUAGGUAGCGCCUCGUGAAUUCAUCUUCGGGGGUAGAGCACUGUUUCGGCUAGGGGGUCAUCCCGACUUACCAACCCGAUGCAAACUACGAAUACCGAAGAAUGUUAUCACGGGAGACACACGGCGGGUGCUAACGUCCGUCGUGAAGAGGGAAACAACCCAGACCGCCAGCUAAGGUCCCAAAGUCAUGGUUAAGUGGGAAACGAUGUGGGAAGGCACAGACAGCCAGGAUGUUGGCUUAGAAGCAGCCAUCAUUUAAAGAAAGCGUAAUAGCUCACUGGUCGAGUCGGCCUGCGCGGAAGAUGUAACGGGGCUAAACCAUGCACCGAAGCUGCGGCAGCGACACUAUGUGUUGUUGGGUAGGGGAGCGUUCUGUAAGCCUGCGAAGGUGUGCUGUGAGGCAUGCUGGAGGUAUCAGAAGUGCGAAUGCUGACAUAAGUAACGAUAAAGCGGGUGAAAAGCCCGCUCGCCGGAAGACCAAGGGUUCCUGUCCAACGUUAAUCGGGGCAGGGUGAGUCGACCCCUAAGGCGAGGCCGAAAGGCGUAGUCGAUGGGAAACAGGUUAAUAUUCCUGUACUUGGUGUUACUGCGAAGGGGGGACGGAGAAGGCUAUGUUAGCCGGGCGACGGUUGUCCCGGUUUAAGCAUGUAGGCUGGUUGUCCAGGCAAAUCCGGAUAAUCAAGGCUGAGGUGUGAUGACGAGGCACUACGGUGCUGAAGUAACAAAUGCCCUGCUUCCAGGAAAAGCCUCUAAGCAUCAGGUAACAU